rnacentral:rRNA from 1 species
AACGAACGCUGGCGGCAUGCCUAACACAUGCAAGUCGAACGAGAGCUUCGGGUCUGGUGGCGGACGGAUGCGUAACGCGGGGGGACCUGCCCAUAGAUUCGGAAUAACGCGCCGGAUGAGGUGCGAAUACCGGCGAAUAUAUUGCGAACAAAGAUUUAGCGCCUUUGGAUGGGCCGGCGUUGGAUUGGCUAGUGGUUAGGGUAAAAGGCUACCAAGGCGACGAUAGAUAGCUGGUAUGAGAGGAUGAUCAGCCACACUGGGACUGAGCAACGGCCCAGACUAUUACGCGAGGCAGCAGUGGGGAAUAUUGGAAAAUGGGCGAAAGGCUGAUCCAGCAAUGCUGGGUGAGUGAUGAAGGUCGUAGGGUUGUAAAGUUAUUUUACACGGGAUGAUAAUGACAGUACCGGGAGAAUAAGCUCCGGCUAACUCCGUG